GGGAAAUACAUCUUGAUCAGUGGCUUUCAACCUUUCCAGACUACUGUAUCCCUUUCAGGAGUCUGAUUUGUCUUGCGUACCCCCAAGUUUCACCUCACUUAAAAACUGCUUGCUUAGGAAAUCAGACAUAAAACUACAAAAUGGUCACAGCAUACAACACUAUUACUGAAAAAUUGCUGACUUUCUCAUUUUUACCUUACAGUUAUAAAAUAAAUCAAUUGGAAUAAAUAUAUUGCACUUACAU